UACAGAGGCCACGAGCGUUAGGCGGAAUCACUGGGCUUAAAGCGUGUGUAGGUGGAUUGGUAAGUACCUUGUAAAAUCCCACGGCUCAACCGUGGAACUGCUCGGUAUACUGCCAGUCUUGAGGCACUCAGGGGCGAGCGGAACAAAUGGUGGAGCGGUGAAAUGCGUAGAUAUCAUUUGGAACGCCAAUGGUGAAGACAGCUCGCUGGGGGUGUACUGACACUGAGACACGAAAGCCAGGGGAGCAAACGGG
rnacentral:rRNA from 1 species